ensembl:misc_RNA Y_RNA Y RNA
AGCUGAUCCAAUGGCAGUGGGUUAUCAGAGCUUAUUAACCUUAGUGUCACUAAAGUUGGUAUACAACCCCCCCCCCACUGCUAAAUUAGAUUGGCUUAAA